AUUGAACGCUGGCGGCAGGCCUAACACAUGCAAGUCGAACGGAGUGGCGGACGGGUGAGUAAUGUCUGGGAAACUGCCUGAUGGAGGGGGAUAACUACUGGAAACGGUAUCUAAUACCGCAUACUAUCAGAUGAGCCUAGGUCGGAUUGGCUAGUUGGUGGGGUAAAGGCCUACCAGGGCGACGAUCCGUAACUGGUCUGAGAGGAUGAUCAGUCACACUGGAACUGAGACACGGUCCAGACUCCUACGGGAGGCAGCAGUGGGGAAUAUUGGACAAUGGGCGAAAGCCUGAUCCAGCCAUGCCGCGUGAGUGAAGAAGGUCUUCGGAUUGUAAAGCACUUUAAGUUGGGAGGCGGUAACAACAGAAAAAGCACCGGCUAACUUCGUGCCAGCAGCCGCGGUAAUUC
rnacentral:rRNA from 1 species